rnacentral:rRNA from 1 species
GACGAACGCUGGCGGCGUGCUUAACACAUGCAAGUCGAACGGUAAGGCCCUUCGGGGUACACGAGUGGCGAACGGGUGAGUAACACGUGGGUGAUCUGCCCUGCACUUCGGGAUAAGCCUGGGAAACUGGGUCUAAUACCGGAUAGGACUCCGGACUGCAUGGUCUGGGGUGGAAAGCUUUUGCGGUGUGGGAGGGGCCCGCGGCCUAUCAGCUUGUUGGUGGGGUGAUGGCCUACCAAGGCGACGACGGGUAGCCGGCCUGGGAGGGGGACCGGCCACACUGGGACUGAGAUACGGCCCAGACGCCUACGGGAGGCAGCAGUGGGGAAUAUUGCACAAUGGGCGCAAGCCUGAUGCAGCGACGCCGCGUGAGGGAUGACGGCCUUCGGGUUGUAAACCUCUUUCAGCAUCGACGAAGCGAAAGUGACGGUAGGUGCAGAAGAAGGACCGGCCAACUACGUGCCAGCAGCCGCGGUAA